rnacentral:misc_RNA from 1 species
UCAAGAACUGUCUCCCGCACUCAUUCCAGUUUUUCAAUGUACUCAAAAUCUAGAAUUGUAUGAACAUCCCUCAACCGUUUUAAUGGGCCAAAUAGUUUUGUUUUUAGGUUGGGCUGCUGUUAAUUCCAGGGCAAUACGCUAGGAAUUUUAAUGUGUUCAUGGUGGAAUUGAAAUGAGUCUUAUUCCUUUUUCUGUAUAUUAAAAUACAAUAUUAAAUGGUUACUAAAACUUUUUUCACUCCUUUCUUUGUUGGUACUCUGUGAGUCUUAUUAGGCUACAGAAUAAAGGCAGUCAACACUAAAAAUCAUUACACUUCUUCUAGUAGGCCUUGAACUCGAGACAUUCAAAUUAGAAUUUACUACUUAAAACGAUUUGAGAAUUUGAAUAUGGGCAGCUUUGCCGAGGUGAUCAAUCAUUUGUUGAUUUCCUCUUUUCCCUG